rnacentral:rRNA from 1 species
UACGAAGGGUGCAAACGUUGCUCGGAAUCAUUGGGCGUAAAGCGCACGUAGGCGGCUUCGCAAGUCGGAUGUGAAAUCCCUCGGCUCAACCAAGGACGUGCAUCCGAAACUGCGAAGCUUGAGUACAGAAGAGGAUCGCGGAAUUCCCGGUGUAGAGGUGAAAUUCGUAGAUAUUCGCAAGAACACCAGUGGCGAAGGCGGCUCACUGGCCCGGUACUGACGCUGAGGUGCGAAAGCGUGGGGAGCAAACAGG